UUCUACUAACACAAAAACACCGCCAUCCCCACACACGCACUACACCACUCCAUUUGAGUCUUUGACACAAAGAAUCUCAUAAAAACACACAAUAGUGCCAUCAUCAACAAGAGAAGAGGAGCAAAUGAUCCCAAUCCUCUUCCUGUUUUCUUGCACUACUUCCUAAUAACUCUUCUGUUUCCACCUUUCUCUCCCCCUCUCUCUCUGAUCAGACACGCACUCCAGUAAGCACAAAAAGAGACGACGCAACCCUAAAACCAGAGACAAUUAACCAUGACCCUGGAUGACUCCCUAAGAUCCCUUUCCAUGGACUACCUCAACCUCCUCAUCAAUGGCCAAGCCUUCAGCGACGUAACCUUCAGCGUAGAGGGUCGUCUAGUCCACGCCCACCGAUGCAUCCUGGCGGCGCGGAGCCUCUUCUUUAGGAAAUUCUUUUGUGGGCCAGACCCGCCUUCCGGGCUGGAUCCAGCUGGGUCCAGAAUCAACCCAGCGGCGUCACCGGGCUCGAGGCCGGGCGUCAUACCGGUGAACGAGGUAGGAUACGAGGUGUUCUUGUUGCUGCUGCAGUUCUUGUACAGUGGCCAAGUCUCUAUUGUGCCUCAAAAGCAUGAGCCAAGGCCUAAUUGUGGGGAGAGAGGGUGCUGGCACACGCAUUGCACCUCAGCCGUUGAUCUUGCUCUCGACACUCUUGCUGCCGCUAGAUCCUUUGGUGUCGAACAGCUCGCAUUGCUCACUCAGAAGCAAUUGGCGAGCAUGGUGGAGAAAGCCUCAAUCGAAGAUGUAAUGAAAGUCCUACUAGCUUCAAGAAAGCAAGAGAUGCACCAGCUUUGGACCACAUGCUCCCACCUUGUUGCAAAAUCUGGCCUCCCUCCUGAAGUCUUAGCCAAGCACCUCCCCAUCGAUGUCGUGACCAAGAUUGAAGAGCUUCGCCUCAAAUCCUCUCUCGCCCGCCGCUCCCUCAUGCCCCACCACCACCACCAUCACCACCACCACCACCAAGAUCUUGGUGCAGCCGCCGAUCUCGAAGACCAAAAGAUCCGUCGUAUGAGACGGGCACUCGACUCGUCUGAUGUGGAACUUGUCAAGCUUAUGGUUAUGGGCGAAGGGCUAAAUCUCGAUGAGGCAUUAGCUUUGCAUUACGCAGUCGAAAAUUGUAGCCGAGAAGUUGUGAAAGCCUUGCUUGAGCUCGGUGCAGCAGAUGUUAAUUACCCUGCUGGACCGGCCGGGAAAACCCCACUUCACAUUGCGGCCGAAAUGGUGUCGCCCGACAUGGUGUCGGUCCUUCUCGACCACCAUGCCGACCCGAAUGUUCGGACCGUCGAUGGGGUUACUCCCCUCGACGUACUGAGAACCCUAACGUCCGAUUUCCUUUUCAAAGGAGCCGUCCCGGGGCUAGCACAUAUCGAACCCAACAAGCUCAGGCUUUGCCUUGAGCUGAUUCAAUCAGCAGCCCUCGUUCUUUCUCGUGAAGAAGGCAAUGCAAAUGCUCCUUCUUCCACCAACAUAUAUCCGCCAAUGAGCGAUGAUCAUAGCAGCGGUAGCAGUGGGAACAACAUGGCGAACCUUAACCUUGAUUCCAGGUUGGUUUAUCUCAAUCUGGGUGCGACGGCUUCAGGUCAAAUGGGAUCUAGAUCAAUGGAUGGAGAGGAUGAUAGCAGCCACAAUAGCCAGAGGGAGGGCAUGAACAGGCAUGGGUCGCAAGGUGGCUGUGGCCCAACAUUGGCGUACUUUUGGGUUUUUGUGGGCUUUUCAGUGAUCAGAAGAUGAAGUUCAGUUUCAUUGGAGAUGGAAGAUGAGACAAGGUGGAUCUGAGAUUUUGCACCGAGGAUACCCGACGGAGGAUAGACGCAGCAUGUCACAAUUGAAUUAUAAGCAGACAACAGGCUUUUAAUUAUUGGUUCGGUUAUGCUUGAGUGCCUUUCGAAAACCCUAAGGAGUCAAGGACCAAGGAAGCUUUAUAAAGCUUAUACAUGAUAGCUAGUUAUACGAGAAUUUGAUCUUAUCGUGUUCCAUUAAUCUUAAUUACCGUGUUCUAAAUGAGUUACUUUUGUAAACUAUAAUAUAUGAUCUCACAACACUAAAUAUAUAUCACGGCCCUCUAAUAGAUAGAUAGUCGUGUGAUCUACAAAUUAAUUAUCCG